AUGGAUUCGUAUAUAUCGUUUGACAAUGGCAAGGACAUGUGGGCUGCACUCGAGGCCAAGUUUAGUGCCUCAAACGCCGGCAGCGAGUUGUACGUCAUGGAGCAAUUCUAUGACUACAAGAUGACUGAUGAGCGCUCUGUUGUACAGCAGGCUCAUGAGAUACAGUCGCUCGCAAAAGAACUUGAGUACUUCAAGUGUGUGUUGUCGGACAAAUUUGUUGCUGGAGGCAUCAUUGCCAAGCUUCCACCUUCGUGGAACAAUUUUGCUACUUCCCUGAAACACAAGAGACGGGAGUUUUCCGUUGCGGAUCUCAUUGGUACUCUUGAUGUUGAAGAGAAGGCGAGAGCAAAGGACACACGUGCUCGAGUUGCUGAGGGAGCUUCUAGUGCCCACAUGGUAUUGAAGAAGAACUUCCAGUCCAACAAGUUCAAAAACAAUAAGAACAAAACUCAGGGCAAAGGCAAGUUUGAUACAAAGAACAAGCCAUCACAUUCUACCAACUUCAAGAAGAAUUCUCAUAAGAAAGGGAAGGGACUUUGCCAUGUCUGCGGUGAUCCUAAUCACUAG
rnacentral:rRNA from 1 species